AUUGAGCGCUGGCGGCAAGCCUAACACAUGCACGACGGGCGCGCGGCGGACGGGUGAGUAAUGUAUGGGGAUCUGCCUGCUGGAUGGGGAUCACUACUGUAAACGGUAGCUAAUACAGCAUACCAUCAGAUGACCCCAGAUGGGAUUAGCUUGUAGGUGAGGUAACGGCUCACCUAGGCGGCGAUCCCUAGCUGGUCUGAGAGGAUGAUUAGCCACACUGGGACUGAGACACGGCCCAGAAUCCUACGGGAGGCAGCAGGGGGGAAUAUGGCACAAGGGGCGCAAGCCUGAUGCAGCCAUGCAGCGUGUAUGAAGAAGGCCUUCGGGUUGUAAAGUACUUUCAGUCGGGAGGCGUUACCGACAGAAGAAGCACCGGCUAACUCCGUGCCAGCAGCCGCGGUAAUA
rnacentral:rRNA from 1 species